rnacentral:rRNA from 1 species
UACGUAGGUGGCAAGCGUUGUCCGGAUUUAUUGGGUUUAAAGGGUGCGUAGGCGGCUUUGUAAGUCAGUGGUGAAAUACUCCAGCUUAACUGGAGGGGUGCCAUUGAUACUGCGGAGCUUGAGUACAGAUGAGGUAGGCGGAAUUGACGGUGUAGCGGUGAAAUGCAUAGAUAUCGUCAAGAACACCGAUAGCGAAGGCAGCUUACUGGGCUGUAACUGACGCUGAUGCACGAAAAGUGUGGGGAUCAAAACAGG